rnacentral:ncRNA from 1 species
UAAGAUAAAUGCUACACCUGUUGUGAGGCAGGGUCAGAAAGCCAUGGGUCUUUCAUACUAUCAUUUGAUAGUAACAGAGAAGAUUGCCAGGUUACCUAA